UACGUAGGUGGCGAGCGUUAUCCGGAAUUACUGGGUGUAAAGGGUGUGUAGGCGGGGUGUCAAGUCAGAUGUGAAAAUUAUGGGCUCAACCCAUAACCUGCGUCCGAAACUGGCGCUCUUGAGAGUGGAAGAGGUAAACGGAAUUCCUGGUGUAGCGGUGAAAUGCGUAGAUAUCAGGAGGAACACCGGUGGCGAAGGCGGUUUACUGGACCACAACUGACGCUGAGACACGAAAGCGUGGGGGGCAAAC
rnacentral:rRNA from 1 species